rnacentral:rRNA from 1 species
AUGAACGCUGGCGGUAUGCUUAACACAUGCAAGUCGAACGGACUCUUCGGAGUUAGUGGCGGACGGGUGAGUAACGCGUGAGAAUCUGGCUUUGGGUUCGGGACAACCACUGGAAACGGUGGCUAAUACCGGAUGUGCCGAGAGGUAAAAGAGAAAUUGCCUGAAGAUGAGCUCGCGUCUGAUUAGCUAGUUGGUGAGGUAAAGGCUCACCAAGGCAGCGAUCAGUAGCUGGUCUGAGAGGAUGACCAGCCACACUGGGACUGAGACACGGCCCAGACCCCUACGGGAGGCAGCAGUGGGGAAUUUUCCGCAAUGGGCGAAAGCCUGACGGAGCAAUACCGCGUGAGGGAAGAAGGCUCUUGGGUUGUAAACCUCUUUUCUUAGGGAAGAACAAAAUGACGGUACCUAAGGAAUCAGCAUCGGCUAACUCCGUG